rnacentral:rRNA from 1 species
UACGAGAGGCCCAAACGUUAUUCGGAUUUACUGGGCUUAAAGAGUUCGUAGGCGGCGCAGAAAGUAAGGUGUGAAAGCCCUCGGCUCAACCGAGGAAUUGCGCCCUAAACUACUGUGCUUGAGGGACCUAGAGGUGAGCAGAACUGAUGGUGGAGCGGUGAAAUGCGUUGAUAUCAUCAGGAAUACCGGAGGCGAAGGCGGCUCACUGGGGGUCUUCUGACGCUGAGGAACGAAAGCCAGGGGAGCGAACGGG